GGUUCUUCUUCCCAGAAGCACAGUUCAUCAUUUUCCCCUACAGAAGAAUUUACAAAGACUGGAGAGAACAAGACAGGGAGGACCAUGGAUCACUGAAGGCCUUAGGGAUGGAAAGGAGACACAAGCAACACAACACAGUGGGUGCUAUAACAUGAGAAAUUUAUUUCUCAUGGUUGAUGGACUAGAAAGUCAAAGGUCAGGUCGAAGUUGACUCGUCCCCAGUGAAGGCUCUUCAUCUCCCUGGUUGGAAGAGAGGUGCCAUCUCUCUGUAUGUGCAUAAGACCUUUCAUCUCAUCCUGUGUGGGAAGAGAAGCAGAGGGGAAAGAAGAAACAAGAAACAAGAAAGAGGAGAGAUAGUCUCCUAUAAGGCUGCUAAGAAGGUCCUGUCAUCAUCUCAUGGAUUCUCAGUCACUCCCCAGAGCCCCCAUUGGAAAAGUGAUUGAAGCUUCAGCACAGGCUCUCGAGGGGACUCAACCAUCCAUACAGGAGCCACUUACAUUUUAUAAAUGUUGGGUGAUGCUCUGCUUGCUUCCUUCAGUGACCAGUUUCACUGGCAUUACUGAAUCUAAACAAUGUAUUUUAAAAGAGACAUGUUUUCUUUGUGUGCAUAACUCACAUAGAGAUAUAUAUGUUCAUACAUAGAUGACUAUAUAAAUAUGUGAGUAAAUUAAUAAACUAUAAAAUGUAUCUAUACAUUAAUAAAUAGGGCUUGUUGGAAAUAGCUGUCAGAAAAAUCUAGGAAUAUUAUUCAAGAAGAUUUCAAAUAGAAAUGGAAAAUGUAAGAUAAUAUCUUGCUAUAUUGAAAAGUAUAUUUAUAUUAUUCUUUGUCUCAAGUAAAGGAGGUUUCUCUUGUUUUGUUUUGUUUUGUUUUUUAAGGUUUCUUUCCAAUUCCUCUGAAACUAGAAUUACAGUCAGUUGUGAGCCACUUGGCAUGGGUGCUGGGAACCAAACUUAGAUACUCUGGAAGAACAGCAAGAGUUCUUUACUGCUGAGCCAUCUUCAGCCCAGAAGGGCAGACUCUUCAAACCAUUUUUUGAAAUAUAUGGACACACACGUUUUGUCUGCUAAUUCAUCUGUUUAAUAUAUUUUGUUGUUUU
rnacentral:lncRNA from 1 species